rnacentral:rRNA from 1 species
GAUGAACGCUAGCGGCAGGCUUAAUACAUGCAAGUCGAGGGGUAACACGGGUAGCAAUACCUGGUGACGACCGGCAAACGGGUGCGGAACACGUACAGAACCUUCCUUUAAGCGGGGGAUAGCCCAUAGAAAUGUGGAUUAAUACCCCAUAGUAAUAUUAGUUGGCAUCAAUUGAUAUUUAAAGAUUUAUCACUUAAAGAUGGCUGUGCGGCUGAUUAGGUAGUUGGUGCGGGUAACGGCCCACCAAGCCAGCGAUCAGUAACUGGUGUGAGAGCACGACCAGUCACACGGGCACUGAGACACGGGCCCGACUCCUACGGGAGGCAGCAGUAAGGAAUAUUGGUCAAUGGACGCAAGUCUGAACCAGCCAUGCCGCGUGAAGGAUGAAGGCCCUCUGGGUUGUAAACUUUCUUUUAUCUGGGACGAACCUUCUUAUUCUUAAGAGACUGACGGUACCAUAGGAAUAAGCACCGGCUAACUCCGUGCCAGCA